UACGGAGGGUGCAAGCGUUAUCCGGAAUCAUUGGGUUUAAAGGGUCCGCAGGCGGACAGAUAAGUCAGUGGUGAAAUCUCACAGCUCAACUGUGAAACUGCCAUUGAUACUGUCUUUCUUGAAUUCGAUCGAAGUGGGCGGAAUGUGACAUGUAGCGGUGAAAUGCUUAGAUAUGUCACAGAACACCGAUAGCGAAGGCAGCUCACUAGGUCUGGAUUGACGCUCAGGGACGAAAGCGUGGGGAGCAAACAGG
rnacentral:rRNA from 1 species